rnacentral:rRNA from 1 species
GGUGGUAAUGCCGGAUGCUCCAGUUGAUCGCAUGGUCUUCUGGGAAAGCUUUCGCGGUAUGGGAUGGGGUCGCGUCCUAUCAGCUUGACGGCGGGGUAACGGCCCACCGUGGCUUCGACGGGUAGCCGGCCUGAGAGGGCGACCGGCCACAUUGGGACUGAGAUACGGCCCAGACUCCUACGGGAGGCAGCAGUGGGGAAUAUUGCACAAUGGGCGCAAGCCUGAUGCAGCGACGCCGCGUGAGGGAUGGAGGCCUUCGGGUUGUAAACCUCUUUUAUCGGGGAGCAAGCGAGAGUGAGUUUACCCGUUGAAUAAGCACCGGCUAACUACGUGCCAGCAGCCGCGGUAAUACGUAGGGUGCAAGCGUUAUCCGGAAUUAUUGGGCGUAAAGGGCUCGUAGGCGGUUCGUCGCGUCCGGUGUGAAAGUCCAUCGCUUAACGGUGGAUCCGCGCCGGGUACGGGCGGGCUUGAGUGCGGUAGGGGAGACUGGAAUUCCCGGUGUAACGGUGGAAUGUGUAGAUAUCGGAAAAAAAACA